CUUGUUUCUCCUCUUUUCAUGUCAUUCUCUAAAAAAAAUUCUCACCUUUCAAGUUCCUAGUUUUUCUUUAUUCUUCAAACAAAAGUUAUUCAAAAUUUGAUUCUUCAACAAAAUCUAUACAUUAAUUCAAGGAUUUUUUUGGUUGAUAAACAAUCAGGCUCUGCGAUUAAAAUGGCUCAAGAGAGGAGAUCUAAGUUUCUUCAUGAUUUUAUCCGCAUUCAAGUUCAAGAUAGCAAUGUCAGGGUAAGCACACUAUUAAUAAAUAAUUAAAAGAAUUGAGUGCAGAAGAUUUCAAAAAAUGAAGAAGAACAAUUUCCCAUUAGUUUGUUUUGUAUUUAUAAUUUAUUUUAGAAUUUUGUAUUAUUUCUCAAUUUGUAUUCAAACCAUUAUUAUGUAUGCUUUCAAUAUUUGCAUUCAUUCAAAAUCUCAUGUUGUAUAGUCAUGAA